rnacentral:rRNA from 1 species
UGUGUAGGUACCUACCCCCCGAUCUGGGAUAGCUGCGGGAAACUGCAGGUAAUACCGGAUAAUGUCUUCGGACCAAAGGUGUGAUUCCGUCAGGGGAGGGGCCUGCAUCCUAUUAGCUUGUUGGUGAGGUAAUGGCUCACCAAGGCAACGAUGGGUAGCGGGUGUGAGAGCAUGACCCGCGUCAUUGGGACUGAGACACUGCCCAGACAUCUACGGAUGGCUGCAGUCGAGAAUCUUCGGCAAUGGGCGAAAGCCUGACCGAGCGACGCCGCGUGCGGGAUGAAGGCCCUCGGGUUGUAAACCGCUGUCGUUGGGGAGGAAAUGCAAAAGGG